GAUGAACGCUGGCGGCGUGCCUAAUACAUGCAAGUCGAGCGAACAGAUGAGGAGCUUGCUCCUCUGACGUUAGCGGCGGACGGGUGAGUAACAGGUGGAUAACCUACCUAUAAGACUGGGAUAACGUCGGGAAACCGGAGCUAAUACCGGAUAAUAUAUUGAACCGCAUGGUUCAAUAGUGAAAGACGGUUUUGCUGUCACUUAUAGAUGGAUCCGCGCCGCAUUAGCUAGUUGGUAAGGUAACGGCUUACCAAGGCAACGAUGCGUAGCCGACCUGAGAGGGUGAUCGGCCACACUGGAACUGAGACACGGUCCAGACUCCUACGGGAGGCAGCAGUAGGGAAUCUUCCGCAAUGGGCGAAAGCCUGACGCAGCAACGCCGCGUGAGUGAUGAAGGUCUUCGGAUCGUAAAACUCUGUUAUUAGGGAAGAACAAAUGUGUAAGUAACUAUGCACGUCUUGACGGUACCUAAUCAGAAAGCCACGGCUAACUACGUG
rnacentral:rRNA from 1 species